rnacentral:rRNA from 1 species
GUACCCUACGGGGGGCAGCAGUGAGGAAUAUUGGUCAAUGGUCGGGAGACUGAACCAGCCAAGCCGCGUGAGGGAUGAAGGUACAGAGUAUCGUAAACCUCUUUUGUCAGGGAACAAAGGCGGGGACGUGUCCCCGGAUGAGUGUACCUGAAGAAAAAGCAUCGGCUAACUCCGUGCCAGCAGCCGCGGUAAUACGGAGGAUGCGAGCGUUAUCCGGAUUUAUUGGGUUUAAAGGGAGCGUAGACGGCGAUGCAAGUCUGAAGUGAAAGCCCGGGGCUCAACCCCGGGACUGCUUUGGAAACUGU